AUAAGCUACUAAGGGCUAACGGUGGAUGCCUUGGCAUCGGAAGGCGAUGAAGGACGUGGUAAGCUGCGAUAAGCUUCGGGGAGUCGUUAACAGGCUUUGAUCCGGAGAUUUCCGAAUGGGGAAACCCGGCAGGACGUAACUCCUGUCAUUUGCUGCUCAAUACAUAGGCAGUAAAGGCGAACGCGGGGAACUGAAACAUCUUAGUACCCGCAGGAAUAGAAAUCAAUUGAGAUUCCGUAAGUAGUGGCGAGCGAACGCGGAACAGCCUAAACCAUGCCGGCUUGCCGGUAUGGGGUUGUAGGAGCCCGACAUGGGACCAAUGAUAUAUAGCGGAACAGUAUGGAAAGGCUGACCAUAGACGGUGAUAGUCCGGUACGCGAAAUAUAUCUUGACCCUAGGGAUUUCCUGAGUACCACGGGACACGUGAAACCCUGUGGGAAUCUGGGAGGACCAUCUUCCAAGGCUAAAUACUAUCCGAUGACCGAUAGCGAACGAGUACCGUGAGGGAAAGGUGAAAAGAACCCCGGGAGGGGAGUGAAAUAGAAACUGAAACCGUUAGCUUACAAGCAGUCGAAGCACUAUGCGCAAGCAGUGUGACGGCGUGCCUUUUGCAUAAUGAGUCAACGACUUACCCUAUGCAGCGAGGUUAAGCCGCGAGGUGGAGCCAUAGCGAAAGCGAGUCUUAAUUGGGCGAUUGAGUUGCAUGGGGUAGACCCGAAGCCGGGUGAUCUAUCCAUGGCCAGGGUGAAGUCUCGGUAACACGAGAUGGAGGCCCGAACCGAAGAAGGUUGAAAACUUCUCGGAUGAGCUGUGGAUAGGAGUGAAAGGCUAAUCAAACCUGGAAAUAGCUGGUACUCCCCGAAAUGCAUUGAGGUGCAGCCUCGGUGAUGAGAAUGACGGAGGUAGAGCACUGGAUGGGCCAGGGGUCCUAACAGACUACCAACCCCAACCAAACUACGAAUGCCGUCAUGUUGCUCGCCGGGAGUGAGUCUUCGGGAGAUAAGUUCCGGGGACGAAAGGGAAAGAGCCCAGACCGCCGGCUAAGGCCCCCAAGUGAAGACUAAGUGGCAAAGGAUGUGGGAAUGCGCAGACAACCAGGAGGUUGGCUUAGAAGCAGCCAUCCUUUAAAGAAAGCGUAAUAGCUCACUGGUCGAGUGGGUCUGCGCGGAAAAUGUACCGGGGCUAAGCAUAGUACCGAAGCUGCGGACUCGCGCUGAGCGCGAGUGGUAGAGGAGCAUUGUGUAAGCCUGUGAAGGUCGACCGUAAGGACGGCUGGAGGUAUCACAAGAGAUUAUGCUGACAUGAGUAGCGAAAAACAGGGUGAGAAACCCUGUCACCGAAAACCCAAGGUUUCCUCAGUAAAGGUAAUCUGCUGAGGGUUAGUCGGUCCCUAAGGCGAGGCCGAAAGGCGUAGUUGAUGGGAAACAGGUUAAUAUUCCUGUACCUCUUGUUGCUGCGAUGGGGGGACGGAGAAGGGUAGGCGAUCCGGGUGCUGGACGUCCCGGUUUAAGCCAGUAGGCGGGAAAGGGAGGCAAAUCCCUCUUUCCACUAACGCCGAGAGGCGAUGACGAGAGCGUAUGCUCACAAAGUCGUUGAUCCCAUGCUUCCAAGAAAAGCCUCUAAGCUUCAGGCAACAGGAGACCGUACCGUAAACCGACUCAGGUGGGUGAGGAGAAAAUCCUAAGGUGCUUGAGAGAACACUGGUUAAGGAACUCGGCAAAAUGAUACCGUAACUUCGGGAGAAGGUAUGCCCUCAUCAGGUGUAGCGAUACGCACGUGAAGCCGAAGGGGGUCGCAGAGAAAUGGCGGUAGCGACUGUUUACUAAAAACAUAGGACUCUGCAAAGUCGAAAGACGACGUAUAGGGUCUGACGCCUGCCCGGUGCCGGAAGGUUAAGGGGAUUUGUUAGCGCAAGCGAAGCUUUGAACCGAAGCCCCGGUAAACGGCGGCCGUAACUAUAACGGUCCUAAGGUAGCGAAAUUCCUUGUCGGGUAAGUUCCGACCUGCACGAAUGGCGUAACGAUUUCCGCGCUGUCUCAACCAGUGGCUCAGCGAAAUUGAAUUCUCGGUGAAGAUGCCGAGUACCCGCGGCAAGACGGAAAGACCCCGUGAACCUUUACUACAGCUUGACAGUGACAUUCGGAAUAGCUUGUGUAGGAUAGGUGGGAGCCUAUGAAGCUGGUACGCCAGUAUCGGUGGAGGCAACCUUGAAAUACCACCCUGGUUGUUUUGGGUGUCUAACCCAGGCCCGUCAUCCGGGUCGGGGACACUGUCUGGUGGGUAGUUUGACUGGGGCGGUCGCCUCCCAAAGAGUAACGGAGGCGCGCGAAGGUUCCCUCAGCCCGAUUGGAAACCGGGCGUAGAGUGCAAUGGCAUAAGGGAGCUUGACUGCGAGACCCACAAGUCGAGCAGGUACGAAAGUAGGUCAUAGUGAUCCGGCGGUUCUGUAUGGAAGGGCCGUCGCUCAACGGAUAAAAGGUACUCCGGGGAUAACAGGCUUAUCUCCCCCAAGAGUCCAUAUCGACGGGGAGGUUUGGCACCUCGAUGUCGGCUCAUCACAUCCUGGGGCUGUAGCAGGUCCCAAGGGUUUGGCUGUUCGCCAAUUAAAGUGGUACGUGAGCUGGGUUUAAAACGUCGUGAGACAGUUUGGUCCCUAUCUGUUGCGGGCGCAGGAUAUUUGAGGAGAUCUUUCCCUAGUACGAGAGGACCGGGAUGGACGAACCUAUGGUGUACCAGUUGUCCCGCCAGGGGCAUCGCUGGGUAGCUAUGUUCGGCAGGGAUAACCGCUGAAAGCAUCUAAGCGGGAAGCCUACUUCAAGAUGAGAUAUCCCAUGGUGUAAACCAUCUGAAGGCUCGUGGUAGAUCACCACGUCGAUAGGUCGGAUGUGGAAGUGUGGCAACACAUGCAGCUUACCGAUACUAAUCAGCCGUGCGGCUUAUCCAU
rnacentral:rRNA from 1 species